GAUGAAGAACGUAGCGAAAUGCGAUAAGUAGUGUGAAUUGCAGAAUUCAGUGAAUCAUCGAAUCUUUGAACGCACAUUGCGCCCUUUGGUAUUCCUUAGGGCAUGCCUGUUCGAGCGUCAUUUGAAACCUCAAGCUCAGCUUGGUGUUGGGUGUCUGUCCCCGCCUCACCGCGGGGACUCGCCUCAAAAUCAUUGGCGGCCGGUACAUUGGCUUCGAGCGCAGCAGAAACGCGAACUCGGGCCCGUCGUAUUGGCUCCCAGAAGCUAUCUUCACAAUUUUGACCUCGGAUCAGGUAGGGAUACCCGCUGAACUUAAGCAUAUCAAUAAGCGGAGGA
rnacentral:misc_RNA from 1 species